UUAAGUCUUAUCUCCUCGAAGUUGCAGUGGAGCAGAUUAAAGAUAGCGAGUCUUAUCUCCUCGGAGCUGUAGUGGGUUAGAAAGAGGCUACUUGAAGAAGACGAGCACCAAGAGGCCAGGCAAAAUCGACCCUUUUAAACUCUUUGCUCCAUUCUCGUUACACGACAAUUAGCAAAGAGGGGCAGCUGUAAUAGGCCCGAUUUACUCGGCCCGUUAUACUAAACCAAACAAAAAAAUAAAUAAUAAAUUAGCCCAAAUGUAUAGGCCUAAAAUCCAGGCCCAAUUACAAUAAACCCAAAAAAAUAAAAAAACCUUAGCCCAACUAAAAAUAAAAAAGCAAAAACCCUAGCCCCCUUUCAAC
rnacentral:lncRNA from 1 species